rnacentral:lncRNA from 1 species
UGAAAUCUGAACUGUCUGUUUCUGUCAAAAUAGUAAAAAUCAAAAUAAUUUUAUUGCCGUAAACAUACAUGAAAUGUGUGAAGUAAUUCAUAUUUUCUGAGAUAAAGCAUACAAUGUUUUUCAAAUAAUGACCGUGGAUUAGAUGAAAAUUAAACAUUAAUCAUGGUUAAUAAGGAAAACAAAUUAUGACACGGGCAAUCUAGGAAUAAAAAUGAUCACCAUUCACUGGACCUUUAAAAAAAUACCCCUUUAUAUAUGUUGCAUUAUAAAAACACUAUUUCAAAGAUGUCAUCUAACCUGCCGCUCACUUACUUA